AGAAAGAGAUUCUGACCUGAGCGGCACACGUAGGGCAGCUUGAUUGCUCUGCGUGUGGAAUGGACAUCAAGAUUUCAGAAGCAUAAUUAUUUGGUAUCUGGACAGCUGCUGAUCACUGGUAAUGGCACCCCC